AUACGGAGGACGCGAGCGUUAUCCGGAUUCAUUGGGUUUAAAGGGUGCGCAGGCGGCCGUGCAAGUCAGCGGUGAAAGCCCGGGGCUCAACCCCGGAAGUGCCGUUGAUACUGCAUGGCUGGAAUGCGGUCGAGGCGGGCGGAACGUGGGGGGUAGAGGGGGAAUGCUUAGAUAUGCCACAGAACGCCGAUAGCGGAGGCAGCUCGCCAGGCUUGCAUUGACGCUCGGGCACGAAAGCGUGGGGAUCGAACAGGAUUAGAUACCCUGGUAGUCCACGCCGUAAACGAUGGGCGCUCGUCGUCGGCGGCAGACAGUCGGCGGCCAAGCGAAAGCGAUAAGCGCCCCACCUGGGGAGUACGGUCGCAAGGCUGAAACUUAAAUGAAUUGACGGGG
rnacentral:rRNA from 1 species